rnacentral:rRNA from 1 species
CCCCUAGAUGUUCUGAGCCGCACGCGCGCUACACUGAACAGUUCAACAAGUCUUAACCUUGGCCGAUAGGUCUGGGUAAUCUUUGAACGCUGUUCGUGAUUGGGAUAGACCUUUGCAAUUAUGGGUCUUCAACGAGGAAUUCCUAGUAAACGCAAGUCAUCAGCUUGCAUUGAUUACGUCCCUGCCCUUUGUACACACCGCCCGUCGCACCUACCGAUUGAAUGGUCCGGUGAAAUCUCGGGACGGCGGCUCGGUCGCUUGCGUCCGACUGCUGAAACUUGAUUAAACCAUAUCAUUUAGAGGAAGGUGAAGUCGUAACA